GACGAACGCUGGCGGCGUGCUUAACACAUGCAAGUCGAACGGAAAGGCCCUGCUUUUGUGGGGUGCUCGAGUGGCGAACGGGUGAGUAACACGUGAGUAACCUGCCCUUGACUUUGGGAUAACUUCAGGAAACUGGGGCUAAUACCGGAUAGGAGCUCCUGCUGCAUGGUGGGGGUUGGAAAGUUUCGGCGGUUGGGGAUGGACGCGCGGCUUAUCAGCUUGUUGGUGGGGUGGUGGCUUACCAAGGCUUUGACGGGUAGCAGGCCUGAGAGGGUGACCGGCCACAUUGGGACUGAGAUACGGCCCAGACUCCUACGGGAGGCAGCAGUGGGGAAUAUUGCACAAUGGGCGGAAGCCUGAUGCAGCAACGCCGCGUGCGGGAUGACGGCCUUCGGGUUGUAAACCGCUUUCGCCUGUGACGAAGCGUGAGUGACGGUAAUGGGUAAAGAAGCACCGGCUAACUACGUG
rnacentral:rRNA from 1 species